GAUGAACGCUAGCAAUAGGCUUAACACAUGCAAGUCGAGGGGCAUCGAGGGUAGCAAUACCUGUCGGCGACCGGCGCACGGGCGAGUAACGCGUAUGUAACCUGCCCGCAACAGAGGGAUAACCCGGCGAAAGUCGGACUAAUACCUCAUAAAACAGGGGUUCCGCAUGGGGCUAUUUGUUAAAGAUUUAUUGGUUGCGGAUGGGCAUGCGUACCAUUAGGUAGUUGGUGAGGUAACGGCUCACCAAGCCAUCGAUGGUUAGGGGUUCUGAGAGGAAGGUCCCCCACACUGGUACUGAGACACGGACCAGACUCCUACGGGAGGCAGCAGUGAGGAAUAUUGGUCAAUGGGCGAGAGCCUGAACCAGCCAAGUCGCGUGAAGGAUGACUGCCCUAUGGGUUGUAAACUUCUUUUAACAGGGGAAUAAAAUGAGAUACGUGUAU
rnacentral:rRNA from 1 species